GCCUUCGUGGUCCAACGGAUGACGAUACUCGGCUCCUAUCCGAGAGAUUCAGGUUCAAUUCCUGACGGGGGCA
rnacentral:tRNA from 1 species